AAAGAACGACAACUGGAGCCUAGGACUGUUUUGGAAAACAUUACUGAAUGGAUUUUAUGUUAGUUCUGCAACGUUUUUAAUAGUUCCAGAAAAUCUGGAUAAAUGAGAACCAUAGGCCAUUUAAGGAUGCUGGAUGAGAGGCACAUCCCGAAUCCGAGACUUUCUGAGACCAAUACCAUAUACCUGUUUUUUUUUUUUUCUUUCUGCUGUCCUUAACCAGACCCAAGAGCAAUCAGAUCUUAAGGGUUGUCAUAGACAAGCAAGCACAGGUCUCUUUAGAUACCAGGACCCUUUGGGAGUUCAGUCUAAGUAACUUUGGAGCCAAGGCAGUUGUCAUUGGCUACUGAAACUUCAAAAUACAAAAUCGGUUAUUCCCUCUUAGAAGCUGGACGGUAAGACAGACAUCCAUGAGUAUGGCGCUAGGAACACAAGGGUGACAGAGCUGUAAAUAGGAGUAAAAAUAUGCAGAGAUGUGGCCUCUUCAUCCUUGCCCGUUUACCAAGCUGAACGGAACAGGGAGCAGAGAGGAAGUCAGUGUCGCUUGGCGAGUCAGACAUGGUCUUCCUGUAGACUGAUGUGGUAAACAUUAAGAUUUGCUGAAGCAUUCAGUGCUAUUUAGAAUAGCCUGGGAACAGAAACUGAGUGGAAUGACACAGAGUUAGAGUAUCCCCAGAUGGAGAUUCACGGAAGGGAAUUCAACCCUGGAUCAUGAAGUGUCCCAGGACCUUGCAUCUCCAAGUGUAAUCUCUGAGCGUUGGUCAUCUUCUGGCGUCACCUGGAGACAGACACAGAGGUGUUCACUCUCCUCUGGAAGACCUAAGGCAUUGGGACCUACAUCUUAAGACCUCCGUGUGACUCACGUGCACAUCGAGAUGGGAAGGUUCCCUGGAAGUAAACCGUUAGCUGAGUAUAUUCAUCAGAGUUCUCAACGUCUCUCAGUUGUGUAAGCUGGACUGCUUCACUUCCUUGGACCCUUUCAGAGUCACAAAAGAAAUCUUACACCCUUUGAAGGAAGCAAUUAAUCCAAGGGGACUUGACCUCCUAGACUGACGAUGGAAGUCACCAUGACUGUAGCCAGGGCAUCAGAAAUGCUUGCUGAGUUUUCCAUGGGAGCCUCUCGUCCCUAUUGUUUGGGGGUGGUGUGCUGAGAUACAGACUAGUACCGAAUGCAUCAGUCAGUCCUUACUGCACAGCCCAGUGGCAGCCAACACUAAUGGGAUUAAUUGGUCUUGACUGGUGGAAUUGUAAAAGUGUGUUCCUCCGAGGGUCAUAAACACCAAGCCUUAAUUGAAAUCAAAUGUAUAUUUUAAAAAAGUUUUCCACCGUCAUAGACUUCUUUCUGUUUUGGUUUUGUUGAUAUUAGCAAUGGUAUAGAAACCUGAUAAAGAAGGCUCGCUGUCAUUACUGCUUUGAAUACAAACUUGUCCUUCUUGGCACUCUAAGUAGCUGAUUAGAGAAGGGGAUAAUAUUCGACUUGAUUAUUGGUUACACAUAUGGAAUAAAUCCCAUUUUAAUCGCGUCUAA